rnacentral:rRNA from 2 species
GGGGAAUAUUGCACAAUGGAGGAAACUCUGAUGCAGCGACGCCGCGUGAGUGAAGAAGGUCUUCGGAUCGUAAAACUCUGUCCUUGGUGACGAAAAAAUGACGGUAGCCAAGGAGGAAGCCCCGGCUAACUACGUGCCAGCAGCCGCGGUAAUACGUAGGGGGCGAGCGUUGUCCGGAAUUACUGGGCGUAAAGGGCGCGUAGGCGGCCUGUUAAGUCAGAUGUGAAACCCCCAGGCUCAACUUGGGGAUUGCAUAUGAAACUGAUGGGCUCGAGUGUCGGAGAGGAAAGCGGAAUUCCUAGUGUAGCGGUGAAAUGCGUAGAUAUUAGGAGGAACACCGGUGGCGAAGGCGGCUUGCUGGACAAAUACUGACGCUGAGGUGCGAAAGCGUGGGGAGCAAACA